UACGGGGGGGGCAAGCGUUGUUCGGAAUUACUGGGCGUAAAGCGCGCGUAGGCGGCUCUUCAAGUCGAGUGUGAAAGCUCCAGGCUUAACCUGGGAAUUGCGCUUGAUACUGUUGAGCUAGAGUGUGGAAGGGGCUACUGGAAUUCCGUGUGUAGCGGUGAAAUGCGUAGAUAUACGGAGGAACACCAACGGCGAAAGCACUCUGCUGGGCCGACACUGACACUGAGAGACGAAAGCUAGGGGAGCGAAUGGG
rnacentral:rRNA from 1 species